rnacentral:rRNA from 1 species
AGUGAACGCUGGCGGUAGGCCUAACACAUGCAAGUCGAACGGCAGCACAGUAAGAGCUUGCUCUUACGGGUGGCGAGUGGCGGACGGGUGAGGAAUGCAUCGGAAUCUACUUUUUCGUGGGGGAUAACGUAGGGAAACUUACGCUAAUACCGCAUACGACCUACGGGUGAAAGCAGGGGAUCUUCGGACCUUGCGCGAUUGAAUGAGCCGAUGUCGGAUUAGCUAGUUGGCGGGGUAAAGGCCCACCAAGGCGACGAUCCGUAGCUGGUCUGAGAGGAUGAUCAGCCACACUGGAACUGAGACACGGUCCAGACUCCUACGGGGGGCAGCAGUGGGGAAUAUUGGACAAUGGGCGCAAGCCUGAUCCAGCCAUACCGCGUGGGUGAAGAAGGCCUUCGGGUUGUAAAGCCCUUUUGUUGGGAAAGAAAAGCAGCAGGUUAAUACCCCGCUGUUCUGACGGUACCCAAAGAAUAAGCACCGGCUAACUUCGUG